UACGUAGGGUCCGAGCGUUGUCCGGAAUUAUUGGGCGUAAAGGGCUCGUAGGCGGUCCGUCGCGUCGGGAGUGAAAACUCGGAGCUUAACUCCGAGCCUGCUUCCGAUACGGGCAGACUAGAGGUAGGCAGGGGAGAGCGGAACUCCUGGUGUAGCGGUGGAAUGCGCAGAUAUCAGGAAGAACACCGGUGGCGAAGGCGGCUCUCUGGGCCUUACCUGACGCUGAGACGCGAAAGCGUGGGGAGCGAACAGG
rnacentral:rRNA from 1 species